CGCGGGCGCGUCCGCGGGGCCGGAGUCGGAGGAACGGGACCGCGCGACGGGCUCCGGGCGCUGAGGGUGGGGCUUCUUCCGAGGCUCCGGCGGCGAGGCCGCUCUCGGAAGGUCACGGAAGCGCGAGGGAGAGGCAGGCGGCCGAGCCCGGGAAAAUCCUCGCGAAAGGCCGAGUGCGCGACGGCCCUGCGGCGAGGACUGCGGCUCCCUGACCGCUGCCGCUGCGAACGCUGCCUUGAGGGGAGGAGAGCGCGGGGCCGUGUUUUCGCCGCCUCUGUAACCACUGCAUACACGAAAACUAGCUUCUGGGGCGAGGGGCGGGGCACGAUGGCUGAGACUUCACGGAUCACCUAAACCGCCCCCGGGGCCGAGGCGCAGCUGCCCGCGUCUCGCUCCUCCUGCCGGGUGCGGGGCUGCCCUGCCGGAGAGGGCCCGCGGACGCGCCGAGAACAUCCUGGAGCCAUCUAGUCUUUCCUCCGAGGCGGGGUGGGCUUAUUUGUGCGGAGUAGAAACGGAUCCCUUAAUGGGGUGAGAUUUUUCCUCGCUACAUUGUUCCCAUUUCCGCAGUUUCACUUGGCCUCGGUUUUCUUGCAGCGUAAUCACCAAAUGAAAUUAGCUGGAGAGCGUUUGAUGGCGCAGAAUCACGGUCUGAAGAUGUUUACGCUGUAUGCUGGACGCGUUUGAUGGUGUUCUCUUCAGCACAAUUAAUUUUGCAAAGUUCAGAAAUGUGCCAGAUAGAGCCCCUGGCACGCAGUCAGGACUCUGCAGACACACCUUGAGUAGGAAACCGGCUUGUUUGUUUCAUCUGUUAUUUAUGCGAUGCACCAGCACCAAGGCCAACGUCUUUUUUAAAAACCUUUGGGUACAAUUCCAAAGCAAUUUGUAAAUUGGCAAAAUGAAGCUCGUUUUCUAAAAUAACUGUUCCCUGUUGAUUACGUAAUUAAAUGAGCAACAAAACACCUGAAAGGACAUUUAUUGAAAAGUAGACUUCCAAAACAAAAAUAUGUAUUUCACAGCUAGAAAUGGUGGCUAUUAGUGUCCUAAAGGCCAGCUGCAUUCAUGUAUGUAUUUUGAACCCUAAAACUAAACGCUUCCUGUUAUCCCUAGGACCUUGUUUGGAUAACAUUUUUCUGUUAUACGUACUUGAAACCAACCCCAUUUAAGAUGUUUAUCCUUAUUCUUGAGUCCUUGAUGGUUUGGGAAAUUUAUCAUUUUUCAUAUUGCACAAUCCUGUCACUGUCUUUUCCAUUAGGCACAGUGCCUAAGAUCCACAAUAUUUUUAGAGGCCCACAAAAAAUAUUUUAAUUUCUUUUCAAAUCAUAAGGAAAAAAACUUUAGGUGUAAGAAUUUUAAUAUAUAUAAAUAUAUUUGUUUUUGUACUAAUACAAUCUUAAAAUGUAAUUUUUAUUUUUUUUAAUGGAGUAAAAGGCUCAAUGAAGGCAAAAAGACCUAGGGCCCAAGAAAAACAUGAUGUGCCCUUGUUGCCUGGGAUUGAAAAAUCCCUUUCCAUGAGAAGAAUUUAGUUUUAAGCAUGUUAUAUAAAAUGCUCAUUUCUGUGGCCUUGUUAAUAAUACAUAGAUGGAGAUUUGGAGUCGUAAUAGUUGCUAGCAUCCAUCUGAUACACAUCAUGUGCCUAUUACGUUUUUUAAUCCUUACAGCACACAUGUGAAAUAGGUACUAUUCUCACACUUACGGAGUGAUGCAAGUUUUGUGGGGUCUGCAGUUUAUGCAACUUGGGUGAUCCUCUUAAAGAAAAGGCCAAUACUGUGUAUUAGUCCAUUCUCACACUGCUAUGAAGAACUGCCCAAGGCUGGGUAAUUUUUCAAGGAGAGAGGUUUAAUGAUUCACAGUUCCACAUGGCUGGGGUGACCUUAGGAAACUUACAAUCAUGGUGGAAGGAGAAGCAAGUACCUUCUUCACAAGGAAGCAGGAAAGAGAAGGGUGAGCAAAGGAGGAACUUGCCAAACACGAAACCAUCAGAUCUCAUGAGAAUUCACUUAUUAUCAUGAGAACGACAUGGGAAAACCACCCCCAUAAUCCAGUCACUUUUCUCCCUGACACGUGGGGAUUACAAUUCAAGGUGAGGUUUGGGUAGGGACACGAAGCCUGACCAUAUCACACAGCAUGUUCAGGCAGCCCAAGUACCACCCAAUAGAAUGGAAAAUGACAGAGGGGAAGUCCAAGUGGAAACAGACCUCAAUGUCAGGUAAUUGUGACUACAAUAUAUUACUUUUGCAAAUUGCACAAAAUCACAUGACCAGGUGAAUGUAGUGCCAAGCCUCCUGCCAAGGCCUGGGAUGGAGGCCUAGAGAAAUGCGCGAAAGCUUAUGCUGUGUGAGUGUCACAGAAGACCUGCCUUCUAUGUAUACCCAUUUUACAGGUGUCUGUGCAGUGCACAAACUGUACAUGACCAUUUCUACUCUGGGGCUGUAAACAAGGGCUAAGAUUGCUACAGUGACUGAAGACUGAGGGGGACCCCCUCUGUAGGAUGCCAAGGACUGACUGGAGAAAGUCUGGCAGAACAGAAACUCUUGCACAAGUGGAGUGGAACAGCGGCUAAGGCACUCCAGCUGACUCAUCUUGACUAGAGAAGGUUACAGCUGGAGGCCCCAGAGAUUACCCACAUUCCCUCUCCAUUUGACAGCAAAGGAAGCAAUGUCCAGAGAAGAUCUGUAACUUUUUCUCAAUUACCUGGAAGGCCAGAGAUAGAAUCAGCAUUGUCUGAAGACAAGUGAGGUCAGAUGCAUAGAUUUAUACAUAGGAGUAUAGAUAACAGGUGUCAUAAACUUGGAAUUAAUUUAGAGGUGGUUAUGAUGAAUGCAUAAUAUUUUCAACUAUACAUAAAAUAUGGGAUUCUGCAUUUAUUUAAAAUAUGGGAUUCUGGGUUAAUUCUUUCUCAUGAGAGGGUGCUUCUUUCAGAAAUGAUCUAAGCACCUAUAAACAUUUUAAAAAUACACACACAUGAGAUCAUAUUUUCAUAGUGAUAUAUACAUCAUUGCUCAUAUCCCCAGUGAACAGAUGGGGGAAAGGAGGUAGAGAGAGACUAAGAUAGAGAGGGAGUCAGCACAAGAACUCACCACAGGAAUCUCCUGGUUGCCUGCCUGGGCUUCUGUCAGCUCCAUUUGGUUGAAUUUCUAUUCAGUAUAAUUACCGAGGUCUUAUACUUAAGAACAUGUUCUUUGGGUUGCCUGCUUAUCUCUAAGCUGAAGAAUUUUUUUUCUUGUUUGCUUUUUCGAUCUUCAGCUUCCAUGACCUUAAAAAAAAAAAGUACACGAAAACUAAGCCGAUCUAAAAGCAGCCUGUUUGCAACCUGAUAUGAGACUUGGAAUGCAACCAGCUAAACCUUGGUGUAGGGUUCUCUAAACACAUUCAACAUUUUUUCCAAGAGGCAAUCGGUUUAUUUCCGUUGAAAUGCUCGAUGAUGAAUUAACAGUACAUUUUCUAAACUAUUGAAAGAGCAGAGGUAAAAUGGUAGUUAGACAUGUCAGAAUGGGAAACAGAGAGCUACGGAAUUUGUCUUACUUUGAAGCUUAAGCCCCUUUGAAUAUUCCUUAUAUUUAGCCACACAUGUAUUUUUAAGGUGGAAAUUAGUUAAUGCAACAUUCUCAUAGUCCAUACUUUUUAUUUAGGUUGAUGCUUGAUGAACCAGAUAAUGUCGAAUCACUUUCUGCUUUAAAGUUUAUAAUUCUCAAUAAAAGAGAAAGUGGUGAAUUAUGUGAACCAACCCUAGAAAGUAUUUCAGCUUUGAGUUUUUUUGUUUGUUUCAAAGAACCUACUGUACAUA